rnacentral:rRNA from 1 species
GUAGGGAAUAUUAGUAAUGGGCGAAAGCCUGAACUAGCAACGCCGCGUGUGCGAAGAAGGCCUUCGGGUUGUAAAGCACUUUUUGAGAGGAUGAGGAAGGACGGUACUCUCAGAAUAAGUCUCGGCUAACUACGUGCCAGCAGCCGCGGUAACACGUAGGAGGCGAACGUUAUCCGGAUUUACUGGGCGUAAAGCGCGUGUAGGUGGUUUGGUAAGUAGGGCGUGAAAGCUCCUGGCUCAACUGGGAGAGGCCGUUCUAAACUGCCGAACUAGAGGAUGGUAGAGGGAGGUGGAAUUCCGGGUGUAGCGGUGGAAUGCGCAGAUAUCCGGAGGAACACCAGUGGCGAAAGCGGCCUCCUGGACCAUUCCUGACACUCAGACGCGAAAGCUAGGGUAGCAAACGGGAUUAGAAACCCCGGUAGUCC